rnacentral:rRNA from 1 species
GCGAACGCUGGCGGCAUGCUUAACACAUGCAAGUCGCACGGGCAGUAGCAAUACUGUCAGUGGGCGGACGGGUGAGUAACGCGUAGGAAUCUAUCCUUGAAUGGGGGACAACCGUGGGAAACUACGGCUAAUACCGCAUGAUGCCUGAGGGCCAAAGACGAAAGUCGUUUGAGGAGGAGCCUGCGUCUGAUUAGGUAGUUGGUGGGGUAAAGGCCUACCAAGCCUACGAUCAGUAGCUGGUCUGAGAGGAUGAUCAGCCACAUUGGGACUGAGACACGGCCCAAACUCCUACGGGAGGCAGCAGUGGGGAAUAUUGGACAAUGGGCGCAAGCCUGAUCCAGCAAUGCCGCGUGGGUGAAGAAGGUCUUCGGAUUGUAAAGCCCUUUUGGCGGGGACGAUGAUGACGGUACCCGCAGAAUAAGCUCCGGCUAACUUCGUG